CUACGGGGCGCUCCAGUGAGGAAUAUUGCACAAUGGGGGGAACCCUGAUGCAGCAACGCCGCGUGGAGGAUGACGCAUUUCGGUGUGUAAACUCCUUUUAUAUGUCAAGAAAAUGACGGUAGCAUAUGAAUAAGCACCGGCUAACUCCGUGCCAGCAGCCGCGGUAAUACGGAGGGUGCAAGCGUUACUCGGAAUCACUGGGCGUAAAGGACGCGUAGGCGGGUUGGAAAGUCAGGUGUGAAAUCCUACAGCUUAACUGUAGAACUGCACUUGAAACUUAUAAUCUAGAGUAUGGGAGGGGGAGAUGGAAUUAGUGGUGUAGGGGUAAAAUCCGUAGAUAUCACUAGGAAUACCUAAAGCGAAGGCGAUCUCCUGGAACAUUACUGACGCUAAGGCGUGAAAGCGUGGGGAGCAAACAGGAUUAGAUACCCGAGUAGUC
rnacentral:rRNA from 1 species